UGUCUUCUGAAUCUGGAAUGUGGCAUGACCUUCUUUUCUACCCUGUUCUCCUAAAAUUGUCAUGGAUUUAUAGCAUGGUGGUAGGCUAGUGGGUAGGAAAGGGGCUGACAUCUAAGAGCCCUCUGUAUACUGAACACUGUGAGUGUUUUCAGGUAUGCCUUCUCCCUUUGCCUCCCAGUACCCUGAUAAGAAAGCAUUUGUCUUUGUUUUUACAUAGGAGGAAAUGAAAACACAGCCAUCAGGUGACUCAACCAGUUAAUACGGUGAAUAGGGAAAGAGCUGGGAUUUGAACUACAGAUAGGGUAGAAUGUCCUUAUGGGAUUUUAACUGUUGUACCAUGGUCAGACUCAACAGGUAGUAUUUAAUAUCAGAAGUUAAAAAGGACCUGGCACAUAAAUGCUCAAAUAUUACAACUCAGCUCCCCAAGGUGCAUGUAUAAGAAUUGCGCGUGCCUAGUCAUACUCACUCGGCUAAGCUAGGAGAAGGCAGUGGUCACCAGGGCUUGACCAGUAUCUGCCUCUGAACCUGAUUAGAGUUGACCCCAGCUCUGACGUUAGGAUGGUAAACACUGUAGACAUAAGUUAGGAGGUGACUGGGGCUUCACCAGUCCUUGAAAACACUGUGACACCCAGAACAGUCACAGCAAGUGGGGACAGACACUUUGUUUCGAAUAUUCAGAGACAUCUCAGGAGGUAAGUGUGGUCAUUGGUCCGUAGCCAGAGGAGGUCAGCUAAAGCGCCUCCCCCAGCCCUCAGAUAGCAUAUUCAAUAACACCACUUGACUUUAUCCUGAUCAAAACAGACAGCCAAGCCCACAGGGAAGACAGCAAACCUUAACUCAAGGACACAAAACGACCCAGCAAGGGCAACAUGAAUGCACUGGCCCUAGCAUUUGUAGUGGCUCUGUCUGGGGGGACAUGGGAGAGGCAGUCUGCCUGCACUGUCACUAGCAUUUUAUUUUAAAAUGCGGUGUGGGUGGAUGAAAUUGAAAUCUACUUGCCACCAGACAGGAUGACACUGUUGCAGGGCAUGAAUCAGGUUAUCUGAAGGUUGUGAUGGAUUAGGAAAGGCUCUCUCCUGCUGACAACAGGGGAUGCCCCAGCUCAAGCUGCUGCUCCAACAGGACAGUCCUACACUACAGGUUUUGAUCCAGGCCAAAAGGGGUACGAUUGAUUCUGCAGUGCUCAGAUUCUGGAUGCAGUAUGAGGGGACAUCGUUCCUCUGCAGAUGUUACGGCUGCUGAAAUGAGGAAGAAGGAAAGGAAAGGAAAGGAAGAAAAGAAGGAAGAAAGAAAAGUCAGGAACCUGUUGAGGUUGUAACGACAAGGAAAUAUUCAAGAGGAAGCCUUUCAGAACCUUCAUACACUUGGUGAGAAUGUAAAUUCGUACGACCACUAUGGAGAACACUUUGGAGCUUCUUCAAAAAACUAAAAAUAGAGCUACCAUAUGGGGCGAUCCAGCAAUGCUCCCACUGGGUAGAGACCUGAAAGAAAGGAAAUCAGUAGGACAAAGAGAUAGCUGCACUCCUGUGUUUGCUGCAGCACUGUUCACUAUAGCCAAGAUUUGGAAGCAACCUAAGUGUUUACCAAUAGAUGAAUGCAUAUAGAAAAUGUGGUACAAAUACACAAUGGAGUAUUAUUCAGCCAUAAAAAAGAAUGAGAUCCUGUCAUUUGCAACAACAUAGAUGGAGCUAGGGAUCAUUAAGCUAAGUGAAAUAAGCAAGGCAAAGAAAGACAAGCAUCACAUGUUCUCACUUAUUUGUGGGAUACAAAAAUCAAAACAAUUGAAUUCAUGAACAUAAAGAGUAGAAGGAAGGUUACCAGAGGCUGGGAAGAGUAGUAGCAGGUGAGGGUGAGGUGGGGAUGGUUAAUGUUAAUGGGUACAGAAAAAAAAUAGAAUGAAUAAGACUUACUAUGUGAUAGCACGACAGGUUGACUAUAGUAAUAACUUAAUUGCACAUUUUAAAAUAACCAAAAGAAUAUAAUUGGAUUUUUUGCAACACAAAGGAUAAAUGCUUGAGGGGGUGUAAUUCUCAUUCUCCAUAUGUAAUUAUUACACAUUGCAUGCCGGCAUCAAAGCAUUUCACUUACCCAGUAAAUAUAUACACCUACUAUGUAUCCACAAAAUUAAAAAUAAAAAUUUGUUUAAAGAAUCUUUAAAAAUAAUGGCAAUGACAUAAUCAAAAUACUUCAUAAAUAAUUUAAUAUUGAUUACAUGUGGAAAUACUAUUUUUUAUAUAUUUAGUUAAAUAAAAAAAAUUCCAACUUCAAAAAAAAAAAAAGAAAUCUUUCAUUGUAGGGAAAAGUAGAAACAAAUCCUGAGGAAGACAUAAUUUUAUUGUCAUCUCUGUGGAGAUGUUCACUGAGAGUCUUGAAAAUGAGAUGCUUUCUGGGUAGAAAGAGACCAGAAGGGUGUAUGAUCCCAAGGGCUAAGAGAGUUUUGAGAUAAAAAGAAAUAAUCAGGCUGGGCACAGUGGCUCACGACUGUAAUCCCAGCACUUUGGAAGGCUGAGGCAGGCAGAUCACAAGGUCAGGAGUUCGAGACCAGCCUGACCAACACGGUGAAACCCCAUCUCUACUAAAAAUACAAAAAUUAGCUGGGUUUGGUAGUAUCCGCCUGUAAUCCCAG
rnacentral:lncRNA from 1 species